GGGUGAUUAGCUCAGCUGGGAGAGCACCUCCCUUGCAAGGCGGGGGUCGGCGGUUCGAUCCCGUCAUCACCCACCA
rnacentral:tRNA from 1 species